AAUCAACGCUGGCGGCGUGCCUAACACAUGCAAGUCGAACGCGAAAGCCCGCAAGGGUAAGUAGAGUGGCGCACGGGUGAGUAACACGUGGACAACCUGCCUUCGAGUGGGGAAUAACCUUCCGAAAGGAGGGCUAAUACCGCAUAACACCUCGGGACACAAGUCUUGGGGUUGAAAAGAGCAAUUUGCUCGAAGAGGGGUCCGCGCCUGAUUAGCUAGUUGGUGAGGUAACGGCUCACCAAGGCUUCGACGGGUAACUGGUCUGAGAGGACGAUCAGCCACACUGGCACUGCGACACGGGCCAGACUCCUACGGGAGGCAGCAGUAAGGAAUAUUGCGCAAUGGGCGAAAGCCUGACGCAGCGACGCCGCGUGGGGAUGAAGGUCUUCGGAUUGUAAACCCCUUUCGGGAGGGAAGAUGGAACGAGCAAUCGUUCGGACGGUACCUCCAGAAGCAGCCACGGCUAACUUCGUGCCAGCAGCCGCCGUAAUACCUGAGACGCC
rnacentral:rRNA from 1 species